AUGCUUUUGGGACCAGAGGCAAGUAUUACCAUGUGUUCAUUGUUUCAGAAUGCCCCUAAGUUGAAGAACCUUGAUAUGUGGAAUUACCCUGGGAGCACAUGGGAUCAGGAUCAGGAUCAGGCGAGCAUUCAAGAGCUUACCCUGCAAAUGCAAAUGAACCAUCUCAUAACGGUCCGUGUGAACGAUUUCCGGGGUGUGGACCACGAAUUCCAUUUCGUGGCAAAGCUAUUGAGCUGGGCACCUGCUUUGGAAGAAGUGAGAAUACAGUGGAAGGGCGAAAUGGACCGCAGCAUGGUUCUUACGAAGCUAUUAGCUCUGCCGAGGGUGUCUCCCAGGGCCAAGAUCAUCGUUACAUGA
rnacentral:rRNA from 1 species